UUCAUUCAAGAUGUUAGAAACAACUUUAAUGUGGGCAAGUGUAACACCCGCGAAGAAUGCACGGAAGGAAAUAAUUUGGUUUCACAGCUACUUCUAUGUAUGUGUGGGGCCGGAUCAGAAGACUACGUUCGCUCAGGAGUCAGGAUUGCAGCAGGAGAAAGAACACAACAACAACUAAGAAUGCACGGAAGGAAAUAAUUUGGUUUCACAGCUACUUCUAUGUAUGUGUGGGGCCGGAUCAGAAGACUACGUUCGCUCAGGAGUCAGGAUUGCAGCAGGAGAAAGAACACAACAACAACUUCUGGAAAAGAAAACUCAACAGAAAGUAAACAACAAAAAUGCACAGAUCCAGUGCAAUCGCGAUCGUCUAAUGUGCUGGCUCUUGUAACCUGGGUUACAUCCUCCCUCACGGAAUAUAUGCACGUCCCUGUGCAUUUACACAUCGAUGAUAGGGGGAACCACAGACUCUUCAAAGGAGCACUCUCUUGUUACAAAAGCUUGUUUUUGACUAAAUCCGCCAUGUCUCCGUCUUCUCUACCGUUCUCUUCCUUUUCUGUUUUUUUUUUUUUUUGACGUCAACCUUGAGGGAGGGGUUACUCUUAAACGGCCAGUUUCUAAUUUUACUUAUUUUCCUAGACAUUUUCUGUUAUUAACUAUUUCACUUAGUAUAAGUUGAGAAUUCGAUAUAUAAUAUGAAUAUGAAUAAAAUAAUGGGAUGAUAUUAAUAAAAUAGUCUUAUUUUAUUUACAUAUGUAGUAAUAUAUAUUUUUCUCUAUUCACAGGUGCUGGCUCUUGUAACCUGGGUUACAUCCUCCCUCUCCUCCCUCACGGAAUUAUAUGCACGUCCCUGUGCAUUUACACAUC
rnacentral:lncRNA from 1 species